CUGCGUGGUUGCCAGGCAGACGUGUGCGCGGAGGUGCCGCAAAGCGCAGGAGGAUGUCUCCCAUCAGUGCGGCCCUGCCGAACAGGAUUCUAGGAACGGGACCUCUGUAUACCCGAAAAGGCCAGUCGUUGCAGGACACUAUCAAAUCGGAAAAAAACAAGGUUGGAUGGGAAAUCCCAUAAUUUUAUUCUGUCAGAGAUUGCAAAACAGACGGCCACCUUCUCCAUAUACAAUGCAUAUGUUUUCUUGAAGCAUUUGAACAUUUCAAUGGCCAUUUGGACUCUUUCCAAGCCUUCUUCUAACUCCAUUUUAAAGAUCUCUUCAGGAAUAAGGAAGUUCUCAGUCUUCAAGAUAUUUGUAAUCCUUUGGCCAAUCUUUGUAUACCAGUGGAUUGGAAAGAAAUGCAAGUAUCACCUGGUAAACAUGUUGCAGAUGAAAAUAAAAAAG